GACGAACGCUGGCGGCAUGCCUAACACAUGCAAGUCGAACGAGACCUUCGGGUCUAGUGGCGCACGGGUGCGUAACGCGUGGGAACCUGCCCUUAGGUUCGGAAUAACUCCCCGAAAGGGGUGCUAAUACCGGAUAAUGUCUUCGGACCAAAGAUUUAUCGCCUUUGGAUGGGCCCGCGUUGGAUUAGCUAGUUGGUAGGGUAAAAGCCUACCAAGGCGACGAUCCAUAGCUGGUCUGAGGGGAUGAUCAGCCACACUGGGACUGAGACACGGCCCAGACUCCUACGGGAGGCAGCAGUGGGGAAUAUUGGACAAUGGGCGAAAGCCUGAUCCAGCAAUGCCGCGUGAGUGAUGAAGGCCUUAGGGUUGUAAAGCUCUUUUACCCGGGAUGAUAAUGACAGUACCGGGAGAAUAAGCUCCGGCUAACUCCGUG
rnacentral:rRNA from 1 species